rnacentral:rRNA from 1 species
GACGAACGCUGGCGGCGUGCCUAAUACAUGCAAGUAGAACGCUGAAGGAGGAGCUUGCUUCUCUGGAUGAGUUGCGAACGGGUGAGUAACGCGUAGGUAACCUGCCUGGUAGCGGGGGAUAACUAUUGGAAACGAUAGCUAAUACCGCAUAAGAUUGACUAUUGCAUGAUAGUCAGUUAAAAGGUGCAAUUGCAUCACUACCAGAUGGACCUGCGUUGUAUUAGCUAGUUGGUGGGGUAACGGCUCACCAAGGCGACGAUACAUAGCCGACCUGAGAGGGUGAUCGGCCACACUGGGACUGAGACACGGCCCAGACUCCUACGAGAGGCAGCAGUAGGGAAUCUUCGGCAAUGGACGGAAGUCUGGCCGAGCAACGCCGCGUGAGUGAAGAAGGUUUUCGGAUCGUAAAGCUCUGUUGUAAGAGAAGAACGAGUGUGAGAGUGGAAAGUUCACACUGUGACGGUAUCUUACCAGAAAGGGACGGCUAACUACGUG